CCGGAAUUAUUGGGCGUAAAGGGAGCGCAGGCGGUUGGAAUAGUCUGAUGUGAAAGCCCACGGCUUAACCGUGGAAGGUCAUUGGAAACUGUCCAACUUGAAUACAGAAGAGGUAAGUGGAAUUCCAAGUGUAGCGGUGAAAUGCGUAGAUAUUUGGAGGAACACCAGUGGCGAAGGCGACUUACUGGUCUGUAAUUGACGCUGAGGCUCGAAAGCGUGGGUAGCAAACAGGAUUAGAUACCCUGGUAGUCCACGCCGUAAACGAUGAGUGCUAAGUGUUAGGGGGUUUCCGCCCCUUAGUGCUGGAGUUAACGCAUUAAGCACUCCGCCUGGGGAGUACGGCUGCAAGGCUGAAACUCAAAGGAAUUGACGGGGACCCGCACAAGCGGUGGAGCAUGUGGCUUAAUUCGACGCAACGCGAAGAACCUUACAACUCUUGACAUCUUCUGAUCACCCUAGAGAUAGGGCUUUCCCUUCGGGGACAGAAUGACAGGUGGUGCAUGGUUGUCGUCAGCUCGUGUCGUGAGAUGUUGGGUUAAGUCCCAUAACGAGCGCAACCCUUAUUGUUAGUUGCCAGCAUUCAGUUGGGCACUCUAGCGAGACUGCCGGUGAUAAACCGGAGGAAGGUGGGGAUGACGUCAAAUCAUCAUGCCCCUUAUGAGUUGGGCUACACACGUGCUACAAUGGACGGUACAACGAGUAGCGAUCCCGCAAGGGUUAGCGAAUCUUAAUAAGCCGUUCUCAGUUCGGAUUGUUCUCUGCAACUCGAGGGCAUGAAGCCGGAAUCGCUA
rnacentral:rRNA from 1 species